rnacentral:rRNA from 1 species
AGCGAACGUUAGCGGCGGGCCUAACACAUGCAAGUCGAACGCGAAAGGUCUUCGGACUGAGUAGAGUGGCGCACGGGUGAGUAACACGUAGGUAAUCUACCCUUUGGCGGGGGAUAACGUUCCGAAAGGAGCGCUAAUACCGCAUAAGACCACGGAGUCUCCGGACGCUGUGGGAAAAGGUGGCCUCUUCUUGAAAGCUAUCACCGAAGGAUGAGCCUGCGUCCCAUCAGCUAGUUGGUAAGGUAAUGGCUUACCAAGGCGAAGACGGGUAGCUGGUUUGAGAGAAUGAUCAGCCACACUGGCACUGGAACACGGGCCAGACUCCUACGGGAGGCAGCAGUGAGGAAUAUUGGGCAAUGGGCGAAAGCCUGACCCAGCCACGCCGCGUGAGUGAUGAAGGCCCUCGGGUCGUAAAGCUCUGUGGAGAGGGACGAAAACCCUGGUUUCAAAUAGGCUCCAGGCUUGACGGUACCUCUUUAGCAAGCACCGGCUAACUCUGUGCCAGC